UGUCUGUGGUGAUGAUGAGGACAUCUGUCUUUAUCCUGAAAACUUGGUGUGGGUUUCUAGUCACUACCUCUUCUGAACAGUCA
ensembl:snoRNA SNORD11B small nucleolar RNA, C/D box 11B